UACGUAGGUGGCAAGCGUUGUCCGGAUUUAUUGGGCGUAAAGCGCGCGCAGGUGGUUUCUUAAGUCUGAUGUGAAAGCCCCCGGCUCAACCGGGGAGGGUCAUUGGAAACUGGGAGACUUGAGUGCAGAAGAGGAUAGUGGAAUUCCAAGUGUAGCGGUGAAAUGCGUAGAGAUUUGGAGGAACACCAGUGGCGAAGGCGACUGUCUGGUCUGUAACUGACACUGAGGCGCGAAAGCGUGGGGAGCAAACAGG
rnacentral:rRNA from 1 species